GACGAAGGGGCUAGCGUUGUUCGGAAUACUGGGCGUAAAGCGCGUGUAGGCGGUUGCCAAAGUCGGGUGUGAAAGCCUUGAGCUCAACUCAAGAAUUGCACUCGAUACUUGGUGACUAGAGGACCGGAGAGGAUAGUGGAAUUCCCAGUGUAGUGGUGAAAUGCGUAGAGAUCAGGAAGAACAUCGGUGGCGAAGGCGCU
rnacentral:rRNA from 1 species